rnacentral:lncRNA from 1 species
GGGUGGGGCAGGGCUUGAAGGCUGUGGGUGUGGGGCCCCAUAAUCAUUUGGUCCAGGACAGGCAGUAGGCGUCAGGGGGCGCCCUAAGGCUCCACGGCAUGUGCCUGUAUUGCUGGGACAUCGAGCCUUCCCAAGUCAACCCUGAGGUGGAGUGGAAAUUACAGAAGUAGGGAGCAGGAUAAAGUUCUCAAUUGCCAGAUGUGGAACAGAUUGCUCUUGGGUCUUCUGGUUAAAAGAUUGGAUCAAAACGAGUGAAGGAGGAGUUAUUUAAGGAAGGACCAAGACAACAUCAUCCUUCAGAGGUCACUGAGCGGCAGCUUGCAAAUAAACGUAUUCAGAAUAUGCAACACCUAAAGAAAGAGAAGAGGAGACUGAAUAAAAGGUUUUCAAGGCCUUCUCCUAUUCCAGAACCAGGACUCCUAUCCCAGAUGUUUUUUAAAGAAAUGUCUACAAACUGUUCUAUACCAUUCAUCCCACCAACUGGUUUGAGGUUGCAGAGACAACUGAAAUGUUUCACAAAUAAUGGUCAUCUUGAUAAAGCAGGAGUCUAUUUGAAGGAAACCAUGCUCCAGACAGAAAUAUGUGGAUUGUGAACAUCAAGUGACAUAUCAUGAAUUGAUCAUCCACAAAAUAAAUGCAAUACUCCACCAUUUCGGAAAAAUAAACACAGUGCAAGUAUUUAAUAUCCAAGCUACAGGCUCUAGAAUUUUAUUAAAUGCCAUCUCUCACUACCAUAUUUUUCUUUCCUGUGGUAAACUUGAAAUUUGC